rfam:Schistosoma curassoni strain Dakar, Senegal genome assembly, scaffold: SCTD_scaffold0005598
CUGAGGAGUCCCAUAAUAGGACGAAACGGCCGUC